rnacentral:lncRNA from 1 species
GCAUGGGACGCAAAGGUGAGGCGCCCUAGAAGGGUAAGAGGUCCAUGCUUCUAGCAUGUUCGUGCUGUGUGUGGCUUAAGACUCGGGUUGUAGACGCUCACACCAGGCUAGUGGUCUGGCAGGAACGUUGACCUUAGAGGAGUGAUGGUCCAACCCACCCUUCUACAGAAAUCUUUCCAGGUGCCUUUCCCAGUGGAUGGGAGUCUAUGUUCUGCACCCCCAGGACCCCAGGAACCCUGGAGAAUGGAAGCUGGAGAGAUGGAGAAGUAGACCCAACACAGAAGAGGACCAUCCCUCACCACCAUCACCAGCCUCCCUUAUGGUGUGCUUCCGAAGGAUCACUCAAAUGUGUACUUCUGGCCUGGAAACAUGAUUCCACGUGUGACUCUACAGGUGAUCAAUUGGUG